rnacentral:rRNA from 1 species
AUUGAACGCUGGCGGCAGGCCUAACACAUGCAAGUCGAGCGAGCGGCGGACGGGUGAGUCAUGCCUGGGAAUUGCCCAGUCGAGGGGGAUAACAGUUGGAAACGACUGCUAAUACCGCAUACGAUUGGAUUGCCCAGGUGGGGUUUGCUAGUUGGUGAGGUAAUGGCUCACCAAGGCGACGAUCCCUAGCGGUGCUUAGAGGAUGAUGAGCCACACUGGAACGGGGACACGGUCCAGACUCCUACGGGAGGCAGUAGGGGGUAAUAUUGCACAAGGGGGGAACCCCUGAUGCAGCCAGGCCGCGUGUGUUAAGAAGGCCUGCGGGUUGUAAAGCACUUUCAGCGAGGAGGCGUUACUCGCAGAAUAAGCACCGGCUAACUCCGUGCCAGCAGCCGCGGUAAUUC